CUUCUCCAGAAUUUAUUUAUUUAAAUCACUGCUCAGUGUUAGUCUUGGUGUAAUGGUCUAAAGGAUGAUGACUGUGAGCACCUUAUGGAGGUGAAGGCAGACACUGCUGUUUCAGGGUGUGUACAGUUUGGUCCUAUUGAUGUCAUACUUUUGGUCUGGUAGCAGGCACUUUUGGGUUUUAUUUCCUGUUUCCUUAUUUGCUGCACCCAGGCCUGUGCUGCCCAGAUUCCCACACCUGCUGUGUAAGUGCAUUCACCUGUAAUAAACAAAAAAAAAGGCAAGUGUUCCCAUCCUCCCCCAGAGUGUCACACUCAGUUAUCACAAACUGCAGCAGCCUUUGUUUCAGCCUGGGUAAGAGCAGAGUCCAUCCCUUUGUUCCCCGAGCUUUCCUGCUCCCUCUUUCCCUCCUCCUGUCUUUGUCAGAGUCCAUGUGAACGCUGCCUUUGCCUCAUUUAUCUUUUCAUCCCCAGCUCAGCGCAGCCUCCUGUUUCACUGUGACAUCCCAGGGUGUCUGUGAGGUUUCUAACACUCUCCCCCCUUCGGCUGACAUUAAAUGCAGGCUUUUUGCUGAUCAUCAGAAACACGCCUCUGUUCAGCUCUGGAGGGAAGGAACAAUGCUGCUCUGUAGAGGUGGGGUUUGCUCACUCCUGACUUUAUUCUGUUCUCGUUGGUAAUCAGGAGUAAAAUUCCUGCUGGCUGCAGUGAGACCAAAGCUGGGCUGAAACUCAUGGCUUUUGAAAAUCUCCUGCCUGCAUCCUUUGGGUCUGUUUUUCUGAAGGAUCAAAAUGAGAAGGCACUUACUGAACUCAGGUUUUUCUCUGGCCUGCCUUGUGUGUGUGCACAGGAAGGACGAUCCUGCCCUGAAAUCCUGAUGUAUGCCACCAUUCCUCUAGGAUCUGAGUGCUGGCUUCCCUUCCCCGGCACCCUUAGCUGUGCUGAGGCUCAGCUUUGGUGGGAGGUGAGGUGUUCCUGCUGUGUCAGGAGGUUUGGGAUGCUCAGGGAGCCCCAGCCCCACCACAGCCACAACAACCUGACACACAAACCUAAAACCAGGCCUAGGGAGGACAGAUCUCCUGGUGUCUCUCCCCCAGAGGAGACCAGGACUGGAGAAAAGGAGGAUCAGGGAGACCUCAGCCCCGACAGCUGCCCCAGGGAAACAAUUGACAGGAUGAGGAAACUGCCUCAAACUGCUCCAGGGAAGGUUCAGGACAUCAGGAGGGAUUUCUCCAUGGAGAGGGGGAUCAGGCAUUGGAAGGGGCUGCCCAGGGAGGUGGUGGAGUUGUCAUCCCUCAGUGUGUCCUAGGAAUGACUGGACAUGGCCCUCAGUGUUGUGGUGACAAGGUAAGGAUCUGGAUUUGGACUUGGACAUCAAAUCUUGUUUCCACCAUUUAAUUAAUUUAAUUUAAUUUAAUAAUUUAUUAAAAAUAAUUUAAUUUAAUUUCCACUUUAAUAACUCUGUGAUUCUGCUCCUAGUUCUGUUCUCUAGUUGUGAAAGUGUGGUAGCUUCAAAUACCAGAGGAAGAAAAUCUGGCCUGCACAUAAAGAGGCAAAGUUCUGUUACUUGACUGGCAAAAGAAAACACACCCUCAUGUAUCUGAAAUAAUUUCAAUUUAAAUCUGCAUCAAAAUGGUAGAAGCCUACAUACACAGGGAUUUUUAAUACUGAGAUUGGGUUUGUUAAUUUUAAGGACCUUGUUGGCUUUGUUUUGUUUUUUUCCAUUGUGCAUUCUAAAUUUUUAUUCUUUUAUUGCUGGAACAGAAAUUAGCAAGGAAUACUUGUAAUUGGAGUGUAACAGAAAGGAAACACAUUUUUCCAAAAAGAUAUAGGGAGCUGCUCUGCAGGAAGGAUGAGUAGUUUUAUCCUUGCUUUACAUCAGCGUAGUUCUCCAAAUUUAGUUUAUUUUUUGUUUGUUGGUUUGUUUGGUGGGUUCUGUUUGGUUGGUUUUUUGUUUCUGUUGUUUUUUUGUUGUUUUGUUUUGUUUGGGUUGUUUGGGUUCUUUUUUCAACGUGUGUUUUUUUUGUUUGUUUGGGGGUUUUUUGGUUUGGUUUUUUUUUGUUUUGUUUUGGUGGGGUUUUUUUGUUGGUUUGAUGUUUGUUUUUCGUAUUUUUGUUUUGUUUUUUGUUCUGUUUUCGAGGUGUUUUGGUCGUUUCUUUCCCCCCAAUAUCCUAACUGCUUGAACAGGACAGAACUAGAAUGAAAACCACCUAUUAUUUUUAUAUCAGCCCUACCUGAAGGUCCAAACCAACAUCACAGUAGCACCAGGAUAAACCCUUUCACAGCCCUGAGCAAAGAGAAAUGUGCUG
ensembl:lncRNA